GACGAACGCUGGCGGCGUGCUUAACACAUGCAAGUCGAACGGAAAGGCCCUGCUUUUGUGGGUUCUCGAGGGGCGAACGGGUGAGUAACACGUGAGUAACCUGCCCCCGACUUUGGGGUUACUUCAAGAAAACGGGGCUAAUACCGGAUAGGAGCUCCUUCUUCAUGGUGGGGGGUGGAAAGUUUCGGCGGUUGGGGAUGGACUCGCGGCUUAUCAGCUUGUUGGUGGGGUAGUGGCUUACCAAGGCUUUGACGGGUAGCCGGCCUGAGAGGGUGACCGGCCACAUUGGGACUGAGAUACGGCCCAGACUCCUACGGGAGGCAGCAGUGGGGAAUAUUGCACAAUGGGCGGAAGCCUGAUGCAGCAACGCCGCGUGCGGGAUGACGGCCUUCGGGUUGUAAACCGCUUUCGCCUGUGACGAAGCGUGAGUGACGGUAGUGGGUAAAGAAGCACCGGCUAACUACGUG
rnacentral:rRNA from 1 species